rnacentral:rRNA from 1 species
CCUACGGGCGGCAGCAGUGGGGAAUUUUGGACAAUGGGCGCAAGCCUGAUGCAGCUAUUCCGCGUGUGGGAUGACGGCCCUCGGGUUGUAAACCACUUUAGUAGAGAACGAAAAGGAGCUAUCGAAUAAAUAGCUCUGCUGACGGUACUCUAAGAAUAAGCACCGGCUAACUACGUGCCAGCAGCCGCGGUAAUACGUAGGGUGCGAGCGUUAAUCGGAAUUACUGGGCGUAAAGGGUGUGCAGGCGGCUGAGUAAGACAGAUGUGAAAUCCCCGGGCUUAACCUGGGAACCGCAUAUGUGACUGGUUGGCUAGAGUGCGUCAGAGGGGGGUAGAAUUCCACGUGUAGCAGUGAAAUGCGUAGAUAUGUGGAAGAACACCGAUGGCGAAGGCAGCCUCCUGGGA